rnacentral:piRNA from 1 species
AAAAUAAAGGUGUGCCGUUCAUAUGCUCU